UACGUAGGGGGCAAGCGUUGUCCGGAUUUAUUGGGCGUAAAGAGCGUGUAGGCGGCUUUACAGGUCCGUUGUGAAAACUCGAGGCUCAACUUCGAGCUGUCGGUGGAAACUUUCUGGCUAGAGUCCGGAAGAGGAGAAUGGAAUUCCUGGUGUAGCGGUGAAAUGCGCAGAUAUCAGGAAGAACACCCGUGGCGAAGGCGGUUCUCUGGGACGGUACUGACGCUGAGACGCGAAAGCGUGGGGAGCGAACAGG
rnacentral:rRNA from 1 species